AUGGUAGCCGUCAUCAUGAAAUGCACCAUCUCGACAACUAUCAUCGGUAGCAGUGGGAGAGGGUUGCGCCUCGCACAACCACCCGAUGUGACCAACCCAAUGCCCGAUGCAUCGCGCCAAAUCCAUCUGAUCUGGCAAACCUCACCACCACCUAGCUACACCAACCCAUGUGCCACCGCAUCUGAUCACACACAUAGGAAUGUCAAAUAUGCCUCUGACCAUCACCGACGAGACAACCCUCCCCUAGGCAACGACGACAGUUGUUCUGCUCGUUCACCGCUGCCGGUCACAUCACCUCACACUCGACGCACUAUCGAACCCGACUAUGGCUAUAGUAAUCUUCGCACGACCUCGCCAAUCACCAACGGCGCUUUGACCUCUUCAACCACACCGUCAUUGGGGACGAGAGGGCACAAGUGCCCGCACAACCUUUGGCCUAUGCAUCGACGGCCACCCACCUGGCCCGGCGCAUCUUGA
rnacentral:rRNA from 1 species